ensembl:lncRNA
AUGUAUAAAAAUACGGACGUAAGUGAUAGUAUUAAAUUAGAAAAAGGGAAAGAAUGUAAAAAAGACGAAAAUGUUAUAAUAAGAUUAAAAAGAAAAAUUGAUGAUACAACUAUACCUUCAAUAUAUUUAAAAAAGUCGAAUAAGAAAAUAUGCAAUGGAGUAUUUUAUAAGCAUAUAGAUACUUUAAAUUGUGAUUUAAAUAUUGAAAAAAAAAAUAUAGAAUGUAUUAAUUUAUUAUUAAAAAAUGAAGAUUUUAAUUUUAAUGAUUAUAAUAAUAAUAGUUUUAAAAAUAGUAAUGAUAAGAACAGUUGUAAUAAUAAUAAAUCAUUUUUAUUUGAUAAAAAAAGAAAGUUUCAAUUAUUAAAGGUUUACGAAAAAGAUUUAAAAUAUACUAUCAAGAAUUUAAAAAAAUAUAAAAUUAUUAAUCAAAAUAUUCACUAUUUUAAUUUGGAUGGAGAAAAAAAAGAAACUUAUAAAAUAAUAGAUGUAGAUUUAUUUAAUAAAGAUAAAAAAGUUAAAAGUAACAUAAAAAAUGACGAUAAUAAUAUUAAUGAUAAUUAUGAAAACAAUAGUAAUAAAUAUAAUGAAAUAGAAGAAUUAUAUGAAUACGAUUUAUAUAUUUUGGAUAAUGAAAAAUUACAAAUAAAUAAUUAUAUGGAUAGUUUAUAUGAAAUUAAAAAUAAUAAUAAUAAUUUAUCAAAUGUAAUAGUAUUAGAAGAUAUGGAUGAAAGUAGUCCUAAGGAAUAUACCAUGAAUUCUUCAUCUUCCUCUACAAGUGAUGAUGACACAAAAAAAGACAUGUCAGAUUAUCCAGAUAAAAGUUCAAGUGAAUACUCAAAUGAUAGUAGUUCUUAUAUUAAUGAUUCACAGGAUGAUAGUGAUGGUAGUCAUGGUAGUCAUUAUAACCAUGAUAAGAUCGAGCUUGACAAUUGGAGCAGUUCUUAUGUUGAUGAUGAGUUUAAUUUUUUAAGUGACGAGAGUGAAGUAACAAAUAGUGAUAAAAAUAUUAAAGAGGGAAGUUCCUCCAUUAAAAAUAAUAACAAUAAUAAUAUUCAUAAUUAUAUUAGUUUCAACAAAUGUAAUAGUUACAAUCAUAAUAUUGUGAGCAAGUUUGAAAAUAGUAACCUAUUCAACCAUUUUAACAAUUGUAAGAAAAGUGUGUUAAAAGAAGACUUAAAAAGCGAAAACAGUGAAAAAAGUGGAAACAUUGGAAACAGUCAAAAAAGCGAAAACAGUCAAAAAAGCGAAAACAGUGAAAAAAGUAUACAUAAUAAUUUUAUUGAUUUUGAAUAUUGUAUAGAUAAUAAAUCGUUUACAAAUCACAAAAAUGGCUUAAAAAAUGGCUUAGAAAAUGGCUUAAAAAAUGGCUUAGAAAAUGGCUUAAAAAAUGGCUUAAAAAAUGACUUAAAAAAUGACUUAAAAAAUGACUUAAAAAAUGACUUAAAAAAUGGCUUAAAAAGUGGCUUAAAAAAUAGUUGGAAUAGUAAUUAUAAGAAUAAAAUGAAUGAUUUAUUUUUAGAAGAAAAAAUAAAAGAAAAGUUAAAAAAAGAAUUAAAAAAAAAAAAUGGAAAUGUUUAUAAUGUAACAUUAUCAGAAAGGUUGGAAAUUUUAGAAAAAAUGGAAAAAGAGUAUUAUGACCGGUUUUAA